rnacentral:rRNA from 1 species
GAUGAACGCUGGCGGUAUGCUUAACACAUGCAAGUCGAACGGGAUUCUUCGGAAUCUAGUGGCGGACGGGUGAGUAACGCGUGAGAAUCUGCCUUCAGGUCGGGGACAACAUUUGGAAACGAAUGCUAAUACCCGAUGUGCCGCAAGGUGAAAGGUUAACUGCCUGAAGAUGAGCUCGCGUCCGAUUAGCUAGUUGGUGGUGUAAGAGACUACCUAGGCGACGAUCUGUAGCUGGUCUGAGAGGACGAUCAGCCACACUGGAACUGAGACACGGUCCAGACUCCUACGGGAGGCAGCAGUGGGGAAUUUUCCGCAAUGGGCGAAAGCCUGACGGAGCAAUCUCGGCGUGAGGGAUGACGGCCUAUGGGUUGUAAACCUCUUUUUUCAGGGAGAAUAAUGGCGCGUACCUGAAGAUAAGCAUCGGCUAACUCCGUGCCAGCAGCCGCGGUAAU